rnacentral:rRNA from 1 species
CCUACGGGAGGCAGCAGUGGGGAAUAUUGCACAAUGGGGGAAACCCUGAUGCAGCGACGCCGCGUGAGUGAAGAAGUAAUUCGUUAUGUAAAGCUCUAUCAGCAGGGAAGAAAAUGACGGUGCCUGAGUAAGAAGCCCCGGCUAACUACGUGCCAGCAGCCGCGGUAAUACGUAGGGGGCAAGCGUUAUCCGGAUUUACUGGGUGUAAAGGGAGCGUAGACGGCAGUGCAAGUCUGGAGUGAAAGGCGGGGGCCCAACCCCCGGACUGCUCUGGAAACUGUGCGGCUGGAGUGCAGGAGAGGCAGGCGGAAUUCCUAGUGAAGCGGUGAAAUGCGUAGAUAUUAGGAGGAACACCAGUGGCGAAGGCGGCUUACUGGACUGUAACUGACGUUGAGGCUCGAAAGCGUGGGGAGCAAACAGGAUUAGAUACCCGAGUAGUC